rnacentral:rRNA from 1 species
UAGAGUUUGAUCCUGGCUCAGGACGAACGCUGGCGGCGUGCCUAAUACAUGCAAGUAGAACGCUGAAGAGAGGAGCUUGCUCUUCUUGGAUGAGUUGCGAACGGGUGAGUAACGCGUAGGUAACCUGCCUUGUAGCGGGGGAUAACUAUUGGAAACGAUAGCUAAUACCGCAUAACAAUGGAUGACACAUGUCAUUUAUUUGAAAGGGGCAAUUGCUCCACUACAAGAUGGACCUGCGUUGUAUUAGCUAGUAGGUGAGGUAACGGCUCACCUAGGCGACGAUACAUAGCCGACCUGAGAGGGUGAUCGGCCACACUGGGACUGAGACACGGCCCAGACUCCUACGGGAGGCAGCAGUAGGGAAUCUUCGGCAAUGGGGGCAACCCUGACCGAGCAACGCCGCGUGAGUGAAGAAGGUUUUCGGAUCGUAAAGCUCUGUUGUAAGUCAAGAACGAGUGUGAGAGUGGAAAGUUCACACUGUGACGGUAGCUUACCAGAAAGGGACGGCUAACUACGUGCCAGCAGCCGCGGUAAUACGUAGGUCCCGAGCGUUGUCCGGAUUUAUUGGGCGUAAAGCGAGCGCAGGCGGUUUGAUAAGUCUGAAGUUAAAGGCUGUGGCUCAACCAUAGUUCGCUUUGGAAACUGUCAAACUUGAGUGCAGAAGGGGAGAGUGGAAUUCCAUGUGUAGCGGUGAAAUGCGUAGAUAUAUGGAGGAACACCGGUGGCGAAAGCGGCUCUCUGGUCUGUAACUGACGCUGAGGCUCGAAAGCGUGGGGAGCGAACAGGAUUAGAUACCCUGGUAGUCCACGCCGUAAACGAUGAGUGCUAGGUGUUGGAUCCUUUCCGGGAUUCAGUGCCGCAGCUAACGCAUUAAGCACUCCGCCUGGGGAGUACGACCGCAAGGUUGAAACUCAAAGGAAUUGACGGGGGCCCGCACAAGCGGUGGAGCAUGUGGUUUAAUUCGAAGCAACGCGAAGAACCUUACCAGGUCUUGACAUCCCGAUGCUAUUUCUAGAGAUAGAAAGUUACUUCGGUACAUCGGUGACAGGUGGUGCAUGGUUGUCGUCAGCUCGUGUCGUGAGAUGUUGGGUUAAGUCCCGCAACGAGCGCAACCCCUAUUGUUAGUUGCCAUCAUUCAGUUGGGCACUCUAGCGAGACUGCCGGUAAUAAACCGGAGGAAGGUGGGGAUGACGUCAAAUCAUCAUGCCCCUUAUGACCUGGGCUACACACGUGCUACAAUGGUUGGUACAACGAGUUGCGAGUCGGUGACGGCAAGCUAAUCUCUUAAAGCCAAUCUCAGUUCGGAUUGUAGGCUGCAACUCGCCUACAUGAAGUCGGAAUCGCUAGUAAUCGCGGAUCAGCACGCCGCGGUGAAUACGUUCCCGGGCCUUGUACACACCGCCCGUCACACCACGAGAGUUUGUAACACCCGAAGUCGGUGAGGUAACCUUUUGGAGCCAGCCGCCUAAGGUGGGAUAGAUGAUUGGGGUGAAGUCGUAACAAGGUAGCCGUA